UUUGCCAAUUUUGGAAGCAUUUAUUUGUGAAAUUUAUGGAUAUAAAAAUAUAUCAAAUAUAAAUGCAGCACGGUUUCAAAAAUUUUGUGUAACUUACAAAGCUAACACUGAAGAUGAACCUUUCAAAAAAACUUUAAAAAAUUGUGAUCCCUCUACUUUACCUCCGUGCAAAGCUGAAUUACAACAACAUCUUUUAAGAACGCAAUAUAUAACGAGUAUUUGGAGAAAUGCAUAUUUGCGAUUCCCCAGCAGUUUGACACCGAAUAGAAACGGAUGGACACUUCAUGAGGAUACGCUACAUUUCCACUGGUUCGACGGAGAUUGUAUGCCGCAAUCAGUAUUCGACGCUAUUGUUCAUGAAAACAAUAAACAAAAUAAUAUUGGAAAUGAUACUACAGAUAAUGCAGGGGUAUCCGAAUUAGACACAGAUGAAUCUGAAGUUGAUUCUGAUAGCUCUGAUGAAGGAGCAUCUACAGAAGAAGAAUGACAAUUUCUUUCUGAUAUGACAGGGAAUUAAUUACAUUGAUAUUUGUAUACUCAUAAUAAUUCUGCAGCUGUAUUAUUAGUAUAUAAUUUUUCUAUUUCAAUAAAUCUGAUUUUGUAAUUUUA